rnacentral:sRNA from 22 species
AGUUUAUAAAUUUUAAAACAAUUCAAACUAUUUAGAAUAAAUAACCAUUCAACGAAAGGAGUAUAAUAAAAUGAGACAUUAUACAACUCAACAUUCAACGACAACUUCAAAUAUUAUUAUUUUAUUAUACUCUCAAGGGCUCGAACUUUAGUAAUUAUUUCAUUUACUAAAUGUUUAAGUCCUAUUUGUAAUUGAAUGGGACUUAUUGA